AUUGAACGCUGGCGGCAGGCCUAACACAUGCAAGUCGAGCGGAUGAAGGGAGCUUGCUCCUGGAUUCAGCGGCGGACGGGUGAGUAAUGCCUAGGAAUCUGCCUGGUAGUGGGGGAUAACGUCCGGAAACGGGCGCUAAUACCGCAUACGUCCUGAGGGUGAAAGCGGGGGAUCUUCGGACCUCACGCUAUCAGAUGAGCCUAGGUCGGAUUAGCUAGUUGGUGGGGUAAAGGCCUACCAAGGCGACGAUCCGUAACUGGUCUGAGAGGAUGAUCAGUCACACUGGAACUGAGACACGGUCCAGACUCCUACGGGAGGCAGCAGUGGGGAAUAUUGGACAAUGGGCGAAAGCCUGAUCCAGCCAUGCCGCGUGUGUGAAGAAGGUCUUCGGAUUGUAAAGCACUUUAAGUUGGGAGGAAGGGCAGUAAGUUAAUACCUUGCUGUUUUGACGUUACCAACAGAAUAAGCACCGGCUAACUUCGUG
rnacentral:rRNA from 1 species